GACGAACGCUGGCGGCGUGCCUAAUACAUGCAAGUAGAACGCUGAAGAGAGGAGCUUGCUCUUCUUGGAUGAGUUGCGAACGGGUGAGUAACGCGUAGGUAACCUGCCUUGUAGCGGGGGAUAACUAUUGGAAACGAUAGCUAAUACCGCAUAACAAUGGAUGACACAUGUCAUUUAUUUGAAAGGGGCAAUUGCUCCACUACAAGAUGGACCUGCGUUGUAUUAGCUAGUAGGUGAGGUAAUGGCUCACCUAGGCGACGAUACAUAGCCGACCUGAGAGGGUGAUCGGCCACCCUGGGACUGAGACACGGCCCAGACUCCUACGGGAGGCAGCCGUAGGGAAUCUUCGGCAAUGGGGGCAACCCUGACCGAGCAACGCCGCGUGAGUGAAGAAGGUUUUCGGAUCGUAAAGCUCUGUUGUAAGUCAAGAACGGGUGUGAGAGUGGAAAGUUCACACUGUGACGGUAGCUUACCAGAAAGGGACGGCUAACUACGUG
rnacentral:rRNA from 1 species